AUUGAACGCUGGCGGCAUGCCUUACACAUGCAAGUCGAACGGCAGCACGGGGGCAACCCUGGUGGCGAGUGGCGAACGGGUGAGUAAUACAUCGGAAUGUACCCAGUAGUGGGGGAUAACUAGUCGAAAGAUUAGCUAAUACCGCAUACGCACUAUGGUGGAAAGCGGGGGAUCGCAAGACCUCGCGCUAUUGGAGCAGCCGAUGUCCGAUUAGGUAGUUGGUGGGGUAAAAGCCUACCAAGCCUGCGAUCGGUAACUGGUCUGAGAGGACGACCAGUCACACUGGGACUGAGACACGGCCCAGACUCCUACGGGAGGCAGCAGUGGGGAAUUUUGGACAAUGGGGGAAACCCUGAUCCAGCAAUGCCGCGUGUGUGACGAAGGGCCUUCGGGUUGUAAAGCACUUUUAGGCGGGAACGGAAACGGACGGCUUUCUAAUACAGAGCGCUAAUGACGGUACCCGCAGAAUAAGCACCGGCUAACUACGUGCCAGCAGCCGCGGUAA
rnacentral:rRNA from 1 species